rnacentral:lncRNA from 1 species
UCAAAACUCUCUCUCUCUCUCAUCGCAGAUUAUUAAUUUAUUUCAAAUUGUCAAUCGAACGUUAAGUUGCUACCGUUAUCGAUGAAGAAGAUGGAUUUAGUCUCUGGUUAUAAGGGAGUUGUUGGACUUAUGUUUGGGAAUGAAGAUUCAAGUUCCAAUGAAGAUAGGUUGGUUGUUUUUAUUUUUUUCUAAUCUUUUUUAGGAGUUUAUGAUUUAGGUUAACCGUUAAAGUGUUAAAUAUGAUUAUGCCUAGUGCCCUUGGUUUUUUAAAAACUUGUGACACUCCGGUGGUGCGUUUUGAUCCCAAAAGUCGAUGCGUGAUGAGCGAUGUGCAAGGCGUGCGCGUCACGUAUGCGAGGCGCUAUUAUUAAAAGCUACUAAGAAAUUAUUUAUAGAUGCUAUUAUAACUUUUGUUAACUUUUGAAUGAUAAAAUAUAAGAUAU